CCGAUGGCGACCGCGACUCCCUCGACUCCAGCUUCUCCGACGCAAGCGGAUUUUUGCACCAACAGGAUCGGUGCUAGAGGAAGGGCGACGUGUCUUCGCAGUAUCCUUGUUCUUAAAGGAGUGCUCAACGGGACCACCUCCGGUCAUCUUCCCUGGCAUCCUCUUCUCCAUCCUCUUCUCCUUCCUCUGCUAGCUUUUCGCCCGAUGCCUCCCCGCAGAAUAUCCACAUGGCGAUCCAUGGCCUCCGCAGCC
rnacentral:lncRNA from 1 species